AGUGUAUUGUCUUCUCCGGGGACAUCAGGCCUGUUACUAAGAUGGGUCCGGUGGGCCAAGGGACACACAGAGCCUUCAUAGCGACGAGGCAAACCCAAACUUGGUUGGCAAACCCAAGGUCCUGCAGGAUGCAGGAAAACCGGGAAGACCAGCACUGCACGGUCACCUCCCUGUCCUUCUCCAGUCAGUGCCCGCACCCCUCUCCUCUCCCAUCCUCUGACUCCUUCCACGGCCUCUUACCCCUCCAGGCAAGAGGAACUCUCGCUAGAGAGCCAUGUAAAAAUAGAUGUAUUUCUGGAUACUCAGCGAGCCUGAAAAACGGCUGAGGCAGAGUCUGCUCCGCUGACAGAAGAUCUAUGUGCCGAAUUCCUCUUCAAAAUCUAUUUCUCCGGAGAUUUAUUUUUGCAGGGCUCUGGCGAGCCAGGGGAAGUUCACAGCACCAGGGCACUGCGCGGCCGCUGCUUCCCGCCUGCGCCGGACCUCCUUCCUGGUGACUGUUUCCUGGAGUGAGCAGUGAUCGAAUUAGGAGGCUGCUGAUAGGCCCGGUCAGGAGCUGAAAAGUCAGGGCUGAAAUGCAAGAGAGAUUUGAAUGGCAAAAAGGUCAUUCUCUUGCCGUACCCUGGCGGGGUCGGAAGCCUGUGAGACACAGCACGACACCCAUCCCUGCGGCUGGGAAAAUAAGUGAUGGCUAUAUUUAUGUCUCCAUCUAAAUGCAUGGAUCAAAGCAGACACUUUAAUCUAUUCAACAACAGCCGGAGGAUUAAAAAGUUGCAGGCAAAUCACACUCUUAAAUUGAAAGCAUAUCACAGAAUGGCCCCAGCCCAUGGAAGGACCCCAGCCAUGGAAGGACCCCAGCCCAUGGAAGGACCCCAGCCAUGGAAGGACCCCAGCCAUGGAAGGACCCCAGCCAUGGAAGGACCCCAGCCAUGGAAGGACCCCAGCCCAUGGAAUGACUCCAGUCCAUGGGAGGACCCCAGCCCAUGGGAGGACCCCAGCCCAUGGAAGGACCCCAGCCCAUGGAAUGACCCCAGCCCAUGGAAUGACCUCAGCCCAUGGAAGGACCCCAGCCAUGGAAGGACCCCAGCCCAUGGAAGGACCCCAGCCCAUGGAAGGACCCCAGCCAUGGAAGGACCCCAGCCAUGGAAGGACCCCAGCCCAUGGAAGGACCCCAGCCCAUGGAAUGACUCCAGCCCAUGGGAGGACCCCAGCCAUGGGAGGACCCCAGCCAAUGGAAGGACCCCAGCCCAUGGAAUGACCCCAGCCCAUGGAAUGACCCCAGCCCAUGGAAGGACCUCAGGCCAUGGAGUGACCCCAGCCCAUGGAAGGAAUGGUGUUGCCCACACUUAGGCUGGGUCUUCCAACUCCCUUAACCUAAUGUAGAUAAUCCCUCACUGAUGUGACCAGA